AAACUCUGCAAAUGGCUGACUCAUCUAUUGUUAGCUUUGGAGCAUCUGCAUUCCAACCGCGUUCAUCAUAGAGACCUCAAGUUAUGUAACAUAUUCAUCACAAAGGACAACAACAUCAGGUUAGGUAAGAAUGCCCGAACAAUUGCUUGAUUGGGUCGUCUUUGCUUCUUUACUAUCCUUCAAAUUCACUUGAUUGUCACAGGUGAUUUUGGAUUAGGAAAAUUGCUAGAUGCAGAAGGCCUUGCUUCCUCGGUAUCUGGCGCACCAAAUGACAUAUUCCUUGAGCUUCUUGC